rnacentral:rRNA from 1 species
AUUGUUAUCGUCCGCUACGGCGUGACAUAUCUCAUCGAGCAUCCACCUCCCCCAAACGCUGACGCCCAGUACCGUGAACUUGAUACCCAUGUCGCCCUGGGGAUGUAUGCCACCCUUGCGGACUCCAUCAUUGAUCAUGUCAUCGGCGCCACCACUCCCUAUGAACCCUGGACUCGGAUCAAUGCCUUCUUCCUCGCCAAUCGCGCUGCUCAAUACAUGCUGCUCAACCGUCAAUACCGGAACCUCAAGCAGUGGGACCUCUCGGUCGUCGAGUAUGUGCGCCGUAUGCGGCUGCUCACCGCCGGUCUCACAGACAUCGAUCAUGCCGUCACCGAGGUGGAUCUCACCACCCAGUUUCUCUACGGCAUCGACAAGUUCCUCGACACCAUCCGUGUUGUGCUCGGCGACACCGUCCCCCUGCCUCCGUUUGAGACGGUCUUCUCCCGC